GUACGUAACGAGAGAUCUCCAUCCGUGAGCUUGACACCAGCCACAGAUGGCCCACUGUCACCAGAGCCGGCCACGGGCCCACUUCCAGCUGCUGACUCAGGAUGGAGCCAAAACCCUCACUGCUAGUCAUCACCCCUCCAGAUCCAGUACAGAGCCUAGAAUAGGAAGCCUUAGGUGUGAGUGAAGCCUUACUGAAUGCACACACGUCAGCAGUGGGCCAGCUGCUCUCACGUCACACAACUGUGCAAUACAUUGCUCGCACAGAGAUGCCAAUGGUGACUAGCAAAGUGCAAACAUUACUAUGACAGUGGAGCAGAGGCCUGGGGCAGCCCUGAGCCUUGGUAAGACUGACAGAAGUGGCAGGUCACAGGCCCAGUUACUCAGAGGAGAACCGCAAUACAGCAACACUUGCAUGCCACUUAAUUUGGGUCA